AUGUACAGAGGCAAGUUCACAGCUCUGUGCACUACUAGCACAGUGUUCAAACCAGGAUAAAUACCUGUAGUAAUGAGGGCUAGUUUAGAUGUCUUUCCCUUCCGUUCUACUGUGCCAUAUGGCUAUUGUUGGCACAGGAACAGAAAUGGCUUCCUAUAUAAUAGAGGUAGGCUGUUGUAGGGAAAACCGCUCAACUCAUGUGAUUUACAUCAAAUCAGGAUUGGUGUGGUUUAUUGAUUUAUUAAUGAAAAGUUAUUAACUGGUAAUCAGUUAGCCAAUCAUUCAGGAUCCAGUAAUAAAACAGAUAAGCUACAGUAACAUGCACUUACAAAAUGUUAAUAAAGACAUACGAACAGACCUGACCGAGGCAGAGUUGUAAUGCCCGUGGGGCAACUUCUGCCAGUGUCCAGCCAGGUUGACUGCUGCUCUGUUACCCUCUUCUCAGUCCAUGGUUCCUCACUCUUGUUACAAAUUUUCAUGUUUCUUUCAUGCUUCAGGUGACUCCCAAAGUCUCUUUGGAAUUCCUUAGUUACACUUAAAUCGGGAUGAUGGCCAUCUUAAGCAAACGUCAUCACUGCUAAUGUUCUCUUAAUGUAAUCAGUCUUUGGGCACACAGACUCUCAGAUGCUUCUGGCUUUCCAUUCACACAUUCUUUUUACACUCAUGUUUGUACUUUAUCAGCCAUUGCUAUCCAAGCCUAGUUACCAAGGGGAGCUGUGCAGAUUUCCGCACAGUAUGCUUGUUACUUCGGUGCUACGGCUUGCCUUCUGGGAUCUAGGAUUCUUGCUUAUUGGACUUAUGCAUCUUUUAAGGCAUUUUAAUACUCCCCAAACCAUCACCACAUUUCUGCAGUACCAGGAAUAUAUUAAUGUACUCUUUAACUCUAUCAACAAGAACAAGACUUUCUAUUUUAGUGAGGGCUUUCUAUCCAAGGACUAAAAUCUCUUGUUUCUACUCAGUCAACAGUCAAGUUCAAAAAGAAUGACUAUGGCUACGUACUCAUUAUACUUUUGUCAGCUCCACACAUUCAAAAGUUUAGGUAAAGUGUGAAAGCAUAUUAAAUGAUACACAAAUAAUAAUAAAGUCCUUUAGGAUAUUUAGUAUGAUAAAAGUAAGGCAAGGUUAACUAGGUUCUUUAAAACAUACUUUGGAGAGCUUCAAAGCUAAACUCUCAACAUUUCUCCAGAACUCUUUUCUGUUUCUAUUCCUCCUCUCUUUAGGCAGCCUAGGAGCAGGAACAGUUCCUGGCCAGUUCUCAUCUCUCCCACAUGUCCAAGUGCUGUCUGGGGAAUAGGGAGGGAGACCUAGGAGACUUCCAUUAGGAUGAGUAAAGAGAUCCCAUACUUGUCAAUGUUUUAGGCAAUAAGGAGGAGAGAGUACUGGAAGGCACAGAGGCAGCUGAAAUAACCCCUCCCAGUUCCCUAAUCCAGAUCUUAAUUGCUGCUUCUUCAAGACUUAAUUUUCUUAUAUGCCUGAGAAGUCUUGAACAACAUUGUUCUCAGCAUAGUUUUUCAGCGUAAGAAUUUCUAAACUCUUGAGCUGCUGUAACUACUAUACAACUAUAUACCAGUAACUAUUAGUACUAGGAACUACUACUACAACUAUAAUUAUUGUAACUAUAACAUGAAAAAUAGCACACGCAUCCUGUUAUUAGUUAAAGAUCUUGUUAUGAAAAAUGUUGAUGCCCAUCUCCAAACCUUGAGCUACUUUGUGCUCUGAUCAUUGAGGUCCCUCCCAUUUUGUUGCUAGUAAGAAGUUGCUAUAAUUUUAGUAUUUUUGCUACCAUGAUCAGCUACUGAAAGACAUAUUAAAUCAGUGGUGUAAUUAAUUAAAGCCAGUCUUCUCACAUACUGUGUAAUGCUAACUCCAUUUCAUGUAGUCAAGCUCAGGUGAGAAAUCACAGGGUUAAAGUUUGGAACUGUGGAUGGUUUAAUUGCUGAGAUAUAAAUCUGCACUCUCCUAAAAGUAAUUUCAAUUGUAAACUAUCUGUAGAAUGUCAAGCUCUCAAAGUCGUAUGUGACACUACUAAGCCAUUUUCAGUAGAGACAGCUGCAGUAGCCCUGUGGGUGUUUGCCUCGAAAAGUUCAGCUGACUCACCAUGUGGAAAGUUUAAGGAAAUAAUAGUAACCGGAUGUGACAAAGUGUGACUCCAUUCCAGAAAAUGACAAUGAACCAGGCCACUGGGCUGUAACUCAGAGUUUUCUCUGUAUGUGCAUGAAGGAGCGGGAAGGAAAAAAAAGCUGACUGAGGAAUCAGAAAGCAUUAGAAAUGUUUCACAGAAUUAAACAGAAAAAGGAAGUGUUUGCUAAAUCACAGUUGUCUUUCCUGAAAGCUCUGGAGGCUCUGCAGUGCUGUAGCAUUGAUAAUGUGGAACUGAACCCUUCCUGUUUUAAUCACUGUCUACCUUCUCCUAAAUAUGUCCUGCCCCUGUGCUUUCUGAAAAUUGAAGAUAUUCACUAAAAUACAAAGAAUUUACUCUCAGACCUCAUUGAGAAUGACUCAAAAGGACACUCUUUGGGUUCAGCAGUCUUUCUGCAUAUAAUCAGUUGCAAGAUUGGAGGCUUGAUUAAAUGACAGAUGUAACAGUUCCCUCAGAAGUAAUCUGAAGAGAUUAGAAAAUGCAUGCAUAUAUGCUGGGAUGAGCUGAUUGUCACUUUCAUCUUCACUGUAUAACCAGAGUUUCAAAAAAACUAUUAAAUUUUGUGGGAUGGGAUGCUUGCUUUGUCUCUGAAACAACUCAUUUUAACCUGAGAAGACAGAAUGAUUUUUACGAACUCCCUAAAAACUGUCAUAUUAAACUCUCCAGAAUUUGGCAAGUCUAUGCAAUUUUUUUCUUUUCACUAGAAAACUAUGUCUGCCUAUGUCUGUUCUUUCUGCUGUAAAUUUUGAGCUGCCAUUUCUUAUUUGCCUUUCAUUAUGGAUGUUACAAAAUUGCUCACUAAAAACAUUUCAGAAAUUUUUGCGUAAUAAAAAUUCUAACUAGUAUAAUCAGAUAAUACUGUCAGGAGUGUGGAAAACGCAAUUUUUUUUUUUUUUUUGCCCUCUCCUAUCUGCCAUUCUAAAGUGCAGUGAGUUGUUGACCUUUACUACUUCAAAAGACAAAUUCUGUUUUAUUAUGUACCUUGUACCUUGGUAUCUUGUUGACUAUAGUGUAUUAUGAAUCUUAUUGGGUAACAGUCUGGCUUCCUACCAAGAACAAGCUAUACCUUACUAUAGUUCAUUGAAAUGUCUGACUGCUGUGGAAUAGGGGAAAUGUCUCUUGACAGAUGUCCUGACAAAGCAAUAAUGAAAAGGUCAUACCACAUUUCAUGCAGUAUUUGUCUUGUUUUUGUAGUGGCUAUGUACCAAAAAUGAGACCCGAUUACAUCUAAUUAGAAACACCAAGUUCUGAAAUAGAAGUUAAGAUGCUAUUAAACACUUGGAUCAAAAUUAUAUUUCAAAAUUCUAAAACCAUUAAACGGUAUCUCAUCAGCAUUACUAUUCAGAUCUAAUCUUAAAACUUUUUAGCUUUUCUAAAGAUCAAGGUCACAGAGCUAAGCAGCUCUUGUUUUAUGGGGCCUUCGGGCCAUUUUGAACUAUUAUUGCUUCAAGAAUUGUUGAUUAUGAUUGAAUACUGAAACAAAAGCAUUUCAUAAUCAUUCUGAGCAAGUCUUCCCUGGCAAAAUUAUCAGCAUAUGGAAUAAGCAACACCCAAAAUUCAGUGAUAAUUAUGAAAACACUUGCUUAUCUAUUUUUUUAUCUCCUUUUGACAAACCAUAAAUGAUUAAAGACUAAGUCUAAAAAUAUUGCAUGACAUUUGAGUAAGUAUACCAAUUAUGUUUCUUUUAUUAUAAUGUUCUCAUUCUAAAAAGUACAGUAAAAAUAAUGGAUGAUGCUAACAAAAGCCUGGUUUUUGUGUUAACAUACAAUAGUAAAUUAGAUGACUUUGGAACAGACUAUUUUGAAAGGCCACAAAAGUCUACAGAAAUCUUUCAGCUGAUUUGAUGAGGGUUUUUUAGACUGAUAGACUGUUAAUUACAUGGGUAACAGUGUUGUCUUAUGGCAUGGUAAAAUAAGGUGCUGUCAUUGUAUGUGUGUUUUUAAACUGCUUAAAAACUGAUGUAUUUUGCUCGAUGUCAGAUCUUUUCCACAUAAGAAAUGCCAACAAUAAACUGUGCUACAUACUUUAAAAA